GUGUCUGCUCGCGGCGGCCCAGAGCCAGGGCCAUGUACAGGCGCCGUGCAGCACUGGUGGGGACGCGGCUUGUCCGGAGCGGGAGCAGGUCGGCGGGCCGGCUCCAGGGGGCAGCGGGAGUUUCGGCCUCUGGGAUGGGGAACAGCACAUCGUCAUCUUUGGGGAACACAGCAACUACUCCCAUGAAUCAGAUCCAAGAAAUCAUUUCUAAUAAUUGUGUGGUGAUUUUCUCCAAAACUUCUUGUUCUUACUGUACGAUGGCAAAAACACUUUUUCACGACAUGAGUGUAAACUAUAAAGUGGUGGAAUUGGACAUGCUUGAACACGGAAGCCAGUUACAAGACGCUCUUCACGAAAUGACCGGUGAAAGAACUGUGCCAAGAAUAUUUGUCAAUGGAACUUUUAUUGGCGGUGCAACUGACACUCACAGGCUUCACAAAGAAGGGAAAUUGCUUCCACUAGUUCACCAGUGUUAUCCAAAAAAAAGUAAGAGGAAGGAAUUUUAGUGAUCUUUCAGUGGUGAGCGCUGAUGGGUACCUUCUCUGCAAAAUAAGGCUCUCACUGAUGCAGUUGUGAACUCGAGCAACGGCAGGAUGGACAUGUCCAGCAAAGGUCUCGUUAUCAGUGAAUACUAUGAAGACAUCGGCAGCUGUAUUUGUGUUUUGAGCCCAGAUCAUUGGAAGAGAGCAAUCAGUUCCACCUGCUGGGAUCUAACUCGGAAAAAAAACAUGGAUAAGAAUACAAGAAAAUGCCUUCAUUUCUGUACUGACAUGUCUGAAAUAAUUAAAUACUUAAAAAUACUAUUUUAUAGGUUAUUUUGUUUAGACCCAAUAUAUAGGCUUUCCCAAGGCUUGUAAAUAUAUUUCUGAUUCUGUGUUCAUGAGAAAGUUGAGAUGAAACAAUUUGUUCUCACAAAUUUAUUAAUAUCAGGA